GCCCUUAUAGCUCAGUGGCAGAGCGCAUCACUUGUACACUGCUCUUUCGCCUGGAAGAUGCAAACGGAUGUCAUGAUGAGGUCGGUAGUUCAAUCCUGCCUGGGGGCA